rnacentral:misc_RNA from 1 species
GAUGAAGAACGCAGCGAAAUGCGAUACGUAAUGUGAAUUGCAGAUUUCAGUGAAUCAUCGAAUCUUUGAACGCACAUUGCGCCCGCCAGUAUUCUGGCGGGCAUGCCUGUUCGAGCGUCAUUUCAACCAUCAAGCGCCUCGCUUGUGUUGGGGCCCUGCGGCUGCCGCAGGCCCCUAAACCCAGUGGCGGGCUCGUCGUCGUACCGAGUGCAGUAAACAUCCUCGCUCAGGGAACCCGACGGGUGCCGGCCGUGAAACCCCCCCUCCUCAAGGUUGACCUCGGAUCAGGUAGGAAUACCCGCUGAACUUAAGCAUAUCAAUAAGCGGAGGA